UUGACCUCGGAUCAGGUAGGAAUACCCGCUGAACUUAAGCAUAUCAAUAAGCGGAGGAAAAGAAACCAACAGGGAUUGCCCUAGUAACGGCGAGUGAAGCGGCAACAGCUCAAAUUUGAAAUCUGGCUCUCGGGCCCGAGUUGUAAUUUGUAGAGGAUACUUUUGAUGCGGUGCCUUCCGAGUUCCCUGGAACGGGACGCCAUAGAGGGUGAGAGCCCCGUCUGGUUGGAUGCCAAAUCUCUGUAAAGUUCCUUCAACGAGUCGAGUAGUUUGGGAAUGCUGCUCUAAAUGGGAGGUAUAUGUCUUCUAAAGCUAAAUACCGGCCAGAGACCGAUAGCGCACAAGUAGAGUGAUCGAAAGAUGAAAAGCACUUUGAAAAGAGAGUUAAAAAGUACGUGAAAUUGUUGAAAGGGAAGCGUUUAUGACCAGACUUGGGCUUGGUUAAUCAUCUGGGGUUCUCCCCAGUGCACUUUUCCAGUCCAGGCCAGCAUCAGUUUUCCCCGGGGGAUAAAGGCGGCGGGAAUGUGGCUCUCUUCGGGGAGUGUUAUAGCCCACCGUGUAAUACCCUGGGGGGGACUG
rnacentral:rRNA from 1 species